UACGGAGGAUGCAAGCGUUAUCCGGAAUGAUUGGGCGUAAAGCGUCCGCAGGCGGCAAUGUAAGUCUGCUGUCAAAGCGUCUGGCUCAACCAGAUAAAGGCAGUGGAAACUACAUAGCUAGAGUAAGGUAGGGGUAGAGGGAAUUCCUGGUGUAGCGGUGAAAUGCGUAGAGAUCAGGAAGAACACCGGUGGCGAAGGCGGCAUCCUGGACCGGUAUUGACGCUGAGGAGCGAAAGCCAGGGGAGCAAACGGG
rnacentral:rRNA from 1 species